UACGAAGGGGGCUAGCGUUGCUCGGAAUCACUGGGCGUAAAGGGUGCGUAGGCGGGUCUUUUAAGUCAGGGGUGAAAUCCUGGAGCUCAACUCCAGAACUGCCUUUGAUACUGAGGAUCUUGAGUUCGGGAGAGGUGAGUGGAACUGCGAGUGUAGAGGUGAAAAUUCGUAGAUAUUCGCAAAGAACACCAGUGGCGAAGGCGGCUCACUGGCCCGAUACUGACGCUGAGGCACGAAAGCGUGGGGAGCAAACAGG
rnacentral:rRNA from 1 species